CAGCAGCCACGGUAAUACGGAGGGGGCUAGCGUUGUUCGGAAUUACUGGGCGUAAAGCGCACGUAGGCGGCUUGGUAAGUUAGAGGUGAAAGCCCGGAGCUCAACUCCAGAAUUGCCUUUAAGACUGCCGAGCUAGCAGGUGAGAGAGGUAAGUGGAAUUCCGAGUGUAGAGGUGAAAUUCGUAGAUAUUCGGAAGAACACCAGUGGCGAAGGCGGCUUACUGGCUCAUACUGGACGCUGAGGUGCGAAAGCGUGGGGAGCAAACAGGAUUAGAUACCCGUGUAGUCCCUGUCUCUUAUAC
rnacentral:rRNA from 1 species